rnacentral:lncRNA from 1 species
CUUAGAUUUAAGCUGCUUUAAUGCUAGAUUCCCUCCCUCAGCGUAAAAGGCUAGAUGUUGGUGAUCAGGGUGACCCUGAAAGCUAUUUGUGGAAGAAGUUAUUUCUUCAGCCUGGGUCCAUGAAUGACUGCAGGAGGCAGAAUCCUUUCCACCUUUAGCCUCUAACCUGCAGCUCUCUUGGGCUAUUUAUGUGUGAGAAAAAUAAACUGUUAC